UACACCUGACGCUCUUCCUCCACACAGCCUCUGACUCUUCCUGCCAGUGGGCAUUUUCUGCAGACACCUAGGGCAUGAGUCAGCAAAAGGUAGCCAAUGCCCGAACCCAGGCCCGGAUUCUACACUGAACUAGCUGGCACCCUGCAGGAGGAUGGCAGCAUCUUACUCUUCUCUCACUGUGGCCUGUCUGCUUUCUUCAUCCUUGGAGGCCAUGGGAGCCUGGCUGAUCUUCAGUGUAUUGCCGAGCCUCUAUGGUGCCUGGUCCUGUGUCUGGGCUCUAGUCUGCUGAGGAUGGAGAGCGCAUGGACAGAAGAGCUGACUUUUACAUCAUCUGCAGGUACUAAGUCAGCCACACCACAGGUGCCUGUGCAGGGAAGCCUCUGUUUACAGGGAACGGGGCCCUAAAAACUGAGUCUGGUAAACAGACCAUCCCAAAGGUCCCUAAGGAGAUGUGGCUUUAGCUCUGUGAUCUACUGAAGACCAUCCACUGACAAAGGCUUCUUGUGUGGUGGGUCUAUCUGCACGGCAUUCCUUAGAUGGGUUCUGAAGAUGGAUGUAGCCUUGCCCAGAGCGUGCGUGACUCCUCCCCACCCACUGCGUUAAUCCUAGGGCCAGGCUUGCAUGGAGGUUGGAGUAGGGAGGUCAGGGACUCAAAGUCAUCAUUCGCUGGACAGAAGGUUUUAGGCUACCCUGAGCUA
rnacentral:lncRNA from 1 species